rnacentral:rRNA from 1 species
UACGGAGGGUGCGAGCGUUGUCCGGAAUCAUUGGGCGUAAAGGGCGCGUAGGUGGCCCGGUAAGCGUGCGGUGAAAGCUCGGGGCUCAACCCCGAGUCGGCCGUGCGAACUGCUGGGCUCGAGCACUGUAGAGGCAGGCGGAAUUCCGGGUGUAGCGGUGGAAUGCGUAGAGAUCCGGAAGAACACCGGUGGCGAAGGCGGCCUGCUGGGCAGUUGCUGACACUGAGGCGCGACAGCGUGGGGAGCAAACAGG